rnacentral:rRNA from 1 species
AGGAUGAACGCUAGCGGCAGGCUUAAUACAUGCAAGUCGAGGGGCAGCAGGUUUGUAGCAAUACAGAUGCUGGCGACCGGCAAACGGGUGCGGAACACGUACACAACCUUCCUUUAAGUGGGGAAUAGCCCAGAGAAAUUUGGAUUAAUACCCCGUAACAUUAUGAUGUGGCAUCACAUUAUAGUUAUAGCUCCGGCGCUUAAUGAUGGGUGUGCGGCUGAUUAGGUAGUUGGCGGGGUAACGGCCCACCAAGCCUGCGAUCAGUAACUGGUGUGAGAGCACGACCAGUCACACGGGCACUGAGACACGGGCCCGACUCCUACGGGAGGCAGCAGUAAGGAAUAUUGGGCAAUGGAGGCAACUCUGACCCAGCCAUGCCGCGUGGAGGAUGAAGGCCCUCUGGGUUGUAAACUUCUUUUAUAUGGGACGAAAAAGGGCCUUUCCAGGUCAACUGACGGUACCAUUUGAAUAAGCACCGGCUAACUCCGUGCCAGCAGCCGCGGUAAUACGGAGGGUGCAAGCGUUAUCCGGAUUUACUGGGUUUAAAGGGUGCGUAGGUGGAUUGGUAAGUCAGUGGUGAAAUCUCCGAGCUUAACUUGGAAACUGCCAUUGAUACUAUCAGUCUUGAAUAUUGUGGAGGUCAGCGGAAUAUGUCAUGUAGCGGUGAAAUGCUUAGAUAUGACAUAGAACACCAAUUGCGAAGGCAGCUGGCUACACAUAUAUUGACACUGAGGCACGAAAGCGUGGGGAUCAAACAGGAUUAGAUACCCUGGUAGUCCACGCCCUAAACUAUGGAUACUCGACAUACGCGAUACACAGUGUGUGUCUGAGCGAAAGCAUUAAGUAUCCCA